rnacentral:rRNA from 1 species
UACGGGGGGGGUAAGCGUUGUUCGGAAUUACUGGGCGUAAAGGGCUCGUAGGCGGCCAACUAAGUCAUACGUGAAAUCCCUCAGCUUAACUGGGGAACUGCGUGUGAUACUGGAUGGCUUGGAUUUGGGAGAGGGAUGCGGAAUUCCAGGUGUAGCGGUGAAAUGCGUAGAUAUCUGGAGGAACACCGGUGGCGAAGGCGGCAUCCUGGACCAAUACUGACACUCAGGUGCGACAGCGUGGGGAGCAAACAGG